UACGUAGGGUGCAAGCGUUAUCCGGAAUUAUUGGGCGUAAAGAGCUCGUAGGCGGUCUGUCGCGUCUGCUGUGAAAACUCAGGGCUUAACCCUGAGCUUGCAGUGGGUACGGGCAGACUAGAGUGCGGUAGGGGAGACUGGAAUUCCUGGUGUAGCGGUGAAAUGCGCAGAUAUCAGGAGGAACACCGGUGGCGAAGGCGGGUCUCUGGGCCGUAACUGACGCUGAGGAGCGAAAGCAUGGGGAGCGAACAGG
rnacentral:rRNA from 1 species